rnacentral:rRNA from 1 species
UGUUUCGGCUAGGGGGUCAUCCCGACUUACCAACCCGAUGCAAACUGCGAAUACCGAAGAAUGUUAUCACGGGAGACACACGGCGGGUGCUAACGUCCGUCGUGAAGAGGGAAACAACCCAGACCGCCAGCUAAGGUCCCAAAGUCAUGGUUAAGUGGGAAACGAUGUGGGAAGGCACAGACAGCCAGGAUGUUGGCUUAGAAGCAGCCAUCAUUUAAAGAAAGCGUAAUAGCUCACUGGUCGAGUCGGCCUGCGCGGAAGAUGUAACGGGGCUAAACCAUGCACCGAAGCUGCGGCAGCGACACUAUGUGUUGUUGGGUAGGGGAGCGUUCUGUAAGCCGUUGAAGGUGUAUCGUGAGGUAUGCUGG